AGGCCGGGGCGGGUGCGGGUGGCACGGGCUGCAGCUGCAGCGGGAGGUGGGGGCUGCAGGCCCGCCGCAGUUGGUGGCCCGGUCAGGGUCUUGAGCUGUGCAGGUGAGAAAUGGCAGACGGCGAGAGAGGGAGAGCCGAUAAAGACGCCUCCCCCGGGGCUCGGAAGGAUUGGAAGUGCCGAACGUUUUGGCGGCGGUCCCUCCUCUGCCUCCUCAGACGCGGUUAGGAGAGAAAUGUCCCGGCCUGGGCUGCCCCUCUACCCUUGUGUCGCGUUACCUUCCUCUUGUCUGCCUGGUCUUGCCGAAAUCAGUGGUGCCGUGUGCUCGGGCCGAGCUGCGGAGCUCCGCUGCUUUCCAGCCCUUCACCUCCUCCACUUCAGCCGGUCGGGAGCCUCUGCACUUCCAAAAUACCAUUAGGCAACUGCAAGGGACGUUGCUAGCUAAAAGUUGUGGGCUAUGUUGCAGCCCACCCGAAUGAGAUUUUCACAUGACAAGACUGAGACCAUGACAUUUUCAGAGCUGUGGGACAUGGUGGGAAGGCAUGCAGGGGCACCAGUGGGUCAGGAAGUCUGCUGGGCACCCUUGGAAGGCUGCACUGGGGAUGGAGUGAAACCUGAAUCUUGUCCAUGUUGCUCUUCUGAAAUCGUUUUUGAUAUCAGACGUGUUACUAGAACACAUGGCACUACAACUAUUGCCUGAUUGGCAGUGAUGAAGCAUCUUUAAUGGUCCAUGAUGAUGCAGACGGUCUGGCAGAGUGCAAAAUGCCUGCAUGCCACCACUACUCACUAGCAAUUGCCAUGGAAAGGGCUGGUGCAAGGCUGAACCAAGGCACAUCAAGAGAAUUUCUGAUGUUUUACAGUCCUGUUCUUCAUAACAACCAUGAAGCCACACAUGGCAACCUUCACCAUCAACACUGAGCAUUCAAUUCCUGUCUGAGAAACUGUAGGGCAUGCUGGUGGCACCACAUCCAAUGGAUGCAGCAAAAAAUUUCACCUUUCAUGGGAAAAAAUGAGAACAGACUUCAAUUAUGAGCAAUGCUCAACUGAGAGUUGAGCUGACCGUGAUUGGCUCAGUCUAAUCGUUACACAGCUGCAACAGUUUGUUUUAUGUUGUAUUUGUUUCCCUGUUCACUUUGACCUUUCAUUUACUCAUUUACCCGUUGCCUUCAGGGAAACCUCUUAGCCUUUAAUUUCUUCUGAUUAUAAACAAAGCAAAUCAAAGUAUUUCUUUAUUUAUAAGGAACUUUCUUACAGUGUUUUUCAGACAGUCUUAAAUGGUUUUAGCCUGUAUCUAGAUGGUUGCUCUCAGCUACUAACCAGAUGAUACCAACUAAGUAGAAAGUGUUUUAGCUACUCGUGGCACCCAAUGUUGACAUUCAAACCUGUUCACCCAACUAGCAUCAACUUAACAUCCCUCUCAACAAAAAUGCAGAGGAAAAUCAGCUUUAAAGGAAUAUAGUCAAGAAUUAAAUUAUUUGGAGAAACGAUUACACAUGGUAAUGUCUGCAGGAAGGAGAAAACUGAGAGAUGUGACUGAGAACUGAGCUGUGAGAUGGGUGUAAUUCUAUCUAGUGCUGUCUGCAGAUGUGCUGAAAGAAAAUAUUGGAUAUUAAAGAAUUUAUGUCUUGAACAAAGGCUGAAAGGUGGAAAACUCUGCUAGUUCUUUUGUGGUGGUUUUGUUGUGCUUGCCUGAACAGUUUCAAGACUUUUUGUAUGCACAGGUAGAUAAGAGACUUCAGAAACCUUGAGGUUUGCUAUCCUGAUAGAACCAAAAAAAAGCCAGUUAAGCACAAAGAACAAAACAAGCUGUAUGUGUUGACUUGCAACUACCACAAGUGGCCCCAAGAUAAAGGACUUAAGAAAUCUUCAAGAUGCCUCUUCAAUAACCACUAGGGACCACCAGAGACCACCUAAGACCCCCAUGGAUGCCCGCAGGACAUGUGAAAUAACUAUGUAAAUGUAAUCGUUAGUUCCAGGAAAUGGUAUGCAUAUGUCUGGGAAAUCUAAUCCAUAUGCAUGUAACAGGGAAUAUAAACCUAGUUCAAUCCAGCAUGCAAGACACAGGUUAGGUGGAGCAAUCCCAUGUGCUUCCAGCCCUGUAAUAAAGAAUGCCAGCUUUCUAAAACUCCAUCACAGAGUAUUUGAGAGUUUUUUCUAGACUGGUUUUUAUAACAAUGACACUUAAUGUAAAGGGACUGGAACACACUACUUGGCAAAACAGUAAUACUGCCAAUGUUUUAAAAACAGACUCUAUAUGUGGCAUUUCUGCCAUCUGUCCCAUGUGUAACACCAUCAACUCUAUUAAAAUAGGGGGUUAAACAUGCAAGACAGCAAAAUGCAGCAGUCAUUCCUAGUUUUUAAAGGUAGUAGUAAAGGGAAAGAUAAAUAUGUGGCUAUUACCCAGUGUACCCUAGGGAUGCAGACAUUAAUGAGCAUUUAGGAGUUUUCCCUCUUCCCUGGCUGUGCUUAGCCAGCCUCACUGGGCCACUUUCUACAAGUUGCUUCUCACCCUUCCUGCUUCACAUUCUGCAUGAAAAGAUUCUUAUUUUACCAAAUGGUUUGUGACAUUAUCAUAAAGCACUGUAUGAGAUGUAGUUAUGAACCAGGAAUUGCUCAUAAAGUGAAAAUGUCCAGACAACAACUUAAGCCUAAGCAAACUCAUCCCAAAGUCUUUUUUCUGUGGAGAGAAAUGAUGUCCUGUGUUCAAGGGAAGCUGUGCUGAAAAGAACCCUCCCAAUCUACUCCUAAUCAAUGCUAGAGUCUACUUCUCAUGCAUAGAUGCCUCAACACAUUUUUCUUUCUAAAGCUUAAAAAUAUCAUUUUAAUGGUUUCUUAGAGGUCCUUCUAAAAUUCUACACACAGACCAUGCAGUGCUGACUGUAUAACCUGAAGAGCUUUACACUAAGUCCGCUAAAGCUAGCUGUGACAGUGCACAGGGGUGUAUUUAGCACUUCAUAUCCUAGUCUUCAGAGGUGAUCUCGAAGGCAAAAAAGGUAAAACUGUCCCAUAAUGAAGUUCAGAACAGCAUACAAAUCCCCCUUCACCCAUAGCAUAUUGUCACCAGAAUAAAGAUCAUAGGAGACAGAUUGAAAUAGUACAUAGUAGUGUUGGGGCCUGGGCUAUAAUGAACAUUAUGGAGUUAGACAAAGACUGAGAAAGUUAGCAGUUCAUCUUUGAAUCACCUUCGGCAGCAGAAAAAGAAGAGAAAAGAAUGCCUAUGUGACAACAAGCUUGAGCAGGGAGGAAACCAAAACUACAGACUGUAAUAGAGACAAGGUCAAAGUAAGAAGACAGGAUAGAGCAUUAAAUUAAGCAUUGUUAGAAGACAGAAUAGAGCAUUCAGUUAAGCAUUGUGAGAUUGCAUGUACGUGAUUAACAAAUUGCAAUAUAUGUAACUAACAAGUAAAAUGUAAGGUAAGCAUAACCAUAGUCUAGUGUGAGAGAAAACUAACUGAAGGCCAAAUAGAUGGGGUGGUAUUUUAAGCACAAUAAGGCUGAUGUUUUAAGUACACUAAGGAUGGUGUUUUAACACAAUGAGGUUGGUGUCUAAGUUGUUACCAAAAUGAAACUUUGAGGCCUUAUGCAUAGCGCGUGAUCCUUAGUAUUAACUGUCAUGAAUUGUAGCACGUAUACAGCAUUUGGAAAAAGUAUAUGUGAUGAUUAUGUGACAAUAAAUUUGGAGUCGAU